UACGUAGGGGGCAAGCGUUGUCCGGAUUUAUUGGGCGUAAAGCGCGCGUAGGCGGCAAGGUAUGUCGUGCGUGAAAUCUCCCGGCUUAACUGGGAGGGCCGUGCGAAACUGCCUGGCUUGAGGUCGGAAGGGGAAAGUGGAAUUCCGGGUGGUAGUGGUGGAAUACGUAGAUAUCCGGAGGAACACCAGCGGCGAAGGCGGCUUCUGGUCCGAUUCGUGACGCUGAGGCGCGAAAGCG
rnacentral:rRNA from 1 species